UACGUAGGGUGCAAGCGUUAAUCGGAAUUACUGGGCGUAAAGCGUGCGCAGGCGGUUUUGUAAGUUUGUCGUGAAAUCCCCGGGCUCAACCUGGGAAUUGCGAUGAAGACUGCAAGGCUAGAAUCUGGCAGAGGGGGGUAGAAUUCCACGUGUAGCAGUGAAAUGCGUGAGAUAUGUGGAGGAAUACCGAUGGCGAAGGCAGCCCCCUGGGAUAACACUGACGCUCAUGCACGAAAGCGUGGGGAGCAAACAGG
rnacentral:rRNA from 1 species